rnacentral:rRNA from 1 species
AUUGAACGCUGGCGGCAUGCCUUACACAUGCAAGUCGAACGGCAGCACGGGAGCUUGCUCCUGGUGGCGAGUGGCGAACGGGUGAGUAAUACAUCGGAACGUACCCUGAAGUGGGGGAUAACGUAGCGAAAGUUACGCUAAUACCGCAUAUUCUGUGAGCAGGAAAGAGGGGGAGUCGCAAGACCUCUUGCUUUAGGAGCGGCCGAUGUCGGAUUAGCUAGUUGGUGAGGUAAAGGCUCACCAAGGCGACGAUCCGUAGCGGGUCUGAGAGGAUGAUCCGCCACACUGGGACUGAGACACGGCCCAGACUCCUACGGGAGGCAGCAGUGGGGGAAUUUUGGUACAAUGGGCGCAAGCCUGAUCCAGCCAUGCCGCGUGAGUGAAGAAGGCC